GCAUGAGGGAAGGUAGAGAGAAGAAAAAAAGGGGGGGAUUGGCUAGGUGAGCGAGAGGGAAGGAGGAGGAUAGGAGACGUCUGGUUUUUGCCAGAUUAUGUGGAGGGGGAGUACAAUGAAGGCUCUAGAAAUCCUCCAGUAACUCGGAGGUCAUGGGUGUAAGCGUUGGAGUCAGGAUAGGAAUGCAGAGCCAAUAGCAUCCGCAUGCUCUCCCGCACCGACCCCAGUGUAGUGUCCACAGAGUGUUGUGUAUUGGAAACUGGAGUUAGAGUACAGUAGGUAUUUGAGAGUGUGUCAGAGAAUGGAGUGUCGACCUCUCAAUGUCAAACAUUAGGAUUAAACAGUAUAAAAAUAUACAAGGUGAAAACAUUAAGUUGCAAUUUAGCAAUUUAGAGAAGAGUGAGACUAAACUUCUUGGCUUGUGUACAGAUAACCCAAUACCUUACAUGAUAUUUAAGUCAGCAUAUAUACACAGAUUUUGGUGUUUGUUCUACUUAUCAUUAAAAUUAAUCCAGUUCCUACCACAUGCUCGCACGGGCCCGGAAGCCUGAAAUGGCACAGUAUGCCUGAACACAAGGCGGUGCAAGAACGGGAGCAGACACAGGCUGAGUUUCCCAGGCUGCUGAAGACGAUGAAGGCCCCAUUACGGCAGCCGAUGAUCAAUUAAUCAAUGGCAUUUGAUUAGCAGCACCUGUCUGUAACUUAACCUCUUAUACUUGGUUUUUCAUAAAUGGCUUUAUAUUUGUUUAAUAAAUCAUGACACGGUGUAAUAUGUCAUAUGUUGUUGUUCAUCUGAGGUCGUAUUUUUCUAAUUUUCCUUAG